rnacentral:lncRNA from 1 species
GUUCAGUUGGCUUUGAGGCAGAAGCCUUCCUGUUGUCCUUCACCUCAACCUAAUUUGUAACUGAAGCUGAGAGAGCUGCAGCCACGGACAGAAGCAUAUCUGCUCCCCAUCACAAUGCUGUCAGAGGAUCGACAGCAUACAGCUUCCAUAGACACAGGAGGAGCAUCUCUGAACCUGAUCUUGUCUGUACAAGCCAAGGCCAUAAACCAGCCUGGAAAUCUGAGUUAUGGCAGAUACUGAUAGGCAAGCAGAGAUAUUCUUUGGGAAAUCUGAUUCCAGGUGAAGGGAAAUCCAGGAAAGAGCCACAUAUGUAGAAGUUCUGAAAGCAGACAAGGAGGACUGGAAACCUUUGCAUGUUACUCCAUGGUUGAAGAGUCUAUAUAUCUAUCUAUCUUCUGUACAGAAAAAAGCAUAUGUUGUGCCAAAAAAAGAGAG